rnacentral:rRNA from 1 species
GACGAACGCUGGCGGCGUGCUUAACACAUGCAAGUCGAACGGUAAGGCCCUUCGGGGUACACGAGUGGCGAACGGGUGAGUAACACGUGGGUGAUCUGCCCCGCACUUCGGGAUAAGCCUGGGAAACUGGGUCUAAUACCGGAUAGGACCACUGCCUGCAUGGGUGGUGGUGGAAAGCUUUUGCGGUGUGGGAUGGGCCCGCGGCCUAUCAGCUUGUUGGUGGGUGAUGGCCUACCAAGGCGACGACGGGUAGCCGGCCUGAGAGGGUGACCGGCCACACUGGGACUGAGAUACGGCCCAGACUCCUACGGGAGGCAGCAGUGGGGAAUAUUGCACAAUGGGCGCAAGCCUGAUGCAGCGACGCCGCGUGAGGGAUGACGGCCUUCGGGUUGUAAACCUCUUUCAGCACCGACGAAGCGCAAGUGACGGUAGGUGCAGAAGAAGGACCGGCCAACUACGUGCCAGCCGCCGCGGUAA